AUUGAACGCUGGCGGCAUGCUUUACACAUGCAAGUCGAACGGUAACAGGCCGCUAUGUUCUGACGAUUGGCGGACGGGUGGGUAAUUCAUCGGAACGUGCCCAGUCGUUGGGGAUAACUACUCUUAAGAAUUGCUAAUACCGCAUACGAUCUAUGGAUGAAAUCGGGGGACCGUAUGGCCUCGCGCGAUUGGAUCGGCCGAUGUCAGAUUAGGUAGUUGGUGUGGUAAAGGCUCACCAAGCCAACGAUCUGUAGCUGUUCUGAGAGGACGACCGGCCACACUGGGACUGAGACACGGACCAGACUCCUACGGGAGGCAGCAGUGGGGAAUUUUGGACAAUGGGCGCAAGCCUGAUCCAGCAAUGCCGCGUGCAGGAAGAAGGCCUUCGGGUUGUAAACUGCUUUUGUACGGAACGAAACGGCUCUGGUUAAUACCCGGGGCUAAUGACGGUACCGUAAGAAUAAGCACCGGCUAACUACGUG
rnacentral:rRNA from 1 species